ACUCUAAUAGUUUAAUCCAAAACACUGGUCUUGUAAACCAGAAACUGAAGGCUUACCACCUUCUUAGAGUU
rnacentral:tRNA from 1 species